UCCUGGCUCAGAACGAACGCUGGCGGCGCGUUUUAAGCAUGCAAGUCGAACGGGAUUCAAGUGCUUGCACUUGAUGAGAGUGGCGAACGGGUGAGUAACACGUAGGUGAUCUACCUAGAAGUUGGGGAUAGCUCAUGGAAACAUGGGGUAAUACCGAAUGAGCUUUUAGAACUAUGGUUUUAAAAGGAAAGGAGCUUAGGCUUCGCUUUUAGAUGAGCCUGCGCACUAUUAGCUAGUUGGUGGGGUAAGAGCCUACCAAGGCAACGAUAGUUAGCCGGCCUGAGAGGGUGACCGGCCACACUGGGACUGAGACACGGCCCAGACUCCUACGGGAGGCAGCAGCUAAGAAUCUUCCGCAAUGGUCGCAAGACUGACGGAGCGACGCCGCGUGGACGAAGAAUGUCGAGAGAUUGUAAAGUCCUUUUAUACAUGAGGAAUAACCCUUAGAGGAAAUGCUAGGGGGAUGACGUUAAUGUAUGAAUAAGCCCCGGCUAAUUACGUGCCAGCAGCCGCGGUAAUACGUAAGGGGCGAGCGUUGUUCGGAAUUAUUGGGCGUAAAGGGAGCGCAGGCUGUUUCAUAAGUCUGAUGUGAAAGACCGCAGCUUAACUGCGGAAACGCGUUGGAAACUGUGUAACUUGAAUCACGGAGGGGGAGAUGGAAUUCCUAGUGUAGGGGUGAAAUCUGUUGAUAUUAGGAAGAACACCGGAGGCGAAGGCGAUCUCCUGGCCGAUGAUUGACGCUGAGGCUCGAAAGCGUAGGGAGCGAACAGGAUUAGAUACCCUGGUAGUCUACGCCGUAAACGAUGUGCACUUGGUGUUGGGGAGUUAUUCUCAGUGCCGAAGUAAACGCGAUAAGUGCACCGCCUGGGGAGUAUGCCGGCAACGGUGAAACUCAAAGGAAUUGACGGGGGCCCGCACAAGCGGUGGAGCAUGUGGUUUAAUUCGAUGAUACGCGAGGAACCUUACCAGGGCUUGACAUAUACAGGACGGCAGUAGAGAUAUUGCUUCCCUUCGGGGCUUGUAUACAGGUGCUGCAUGGUUGUCGUCAGCUCGUGCCGUGAGGUGUUGGGUUAAGUCCCGCAACGAGCGCAACCCCUAUUGUCUGUUGCCAGCAUUAAGUUGGGGACUCAGGCAAGACUGCCGGUGACAAACCGGAGGAAGGUGGGGAUGACGUCAAAUCAUCAUGGCCCUUAUGUCCUGGGCUACACACGUGCUACAAUGGCCAGUACAGAGUGAUGCGAAGCCGCGAGGUGGAGCCAAACGCAGAAAGCUGGUCUCAGUUCGGAUUGGAGUCUGAAACUCGACUCCAUGAAGGUGGAAUCGCUAGUAAUCGCGCAUCAGCAUGGCGCGGUGAAUACGUUCCCGGGCCUUGUACACACCGCCCGUCACACCACCCGAGUUGGGGGUACCCGAAGUCGCUCGUCUAACCUGCAA
rnacentral:rRNA from 1 species